UAGGGAAUCUUCCACAAUGGACGAAAGUCUGAUGGAGCAACGCCGCGUGAGUGAAGAAGGGUUUCGGCUCGUAAAACUCUGUUGUUAAAGAAGAACAUAUCUGAGAGUAACUGUUCAAGUAUUGACGGUAUUUAACCAGAAAGCCACGGCUAACUACGUGCCAA
rnacentral:rRNA from 1 species